rnacentral:rRNA from 1 species
AGUACGUGAAACUGCUUAGAGGUUAAACCCGAUGAACCUGAAUAUCCAUUAUGGAAAAUUCAUCACUAAUAAUAGAAUAUAUAAAUAAUAUUUUAUGAAUGGUGUGCAAUUUUUCCAUAUAAGGACAUUGUAAUCUGUUAAUGUAAUAAAUAUUUAUCAUAAGAUUCAUUACAUCAAGUUUAUUCAAAUUAUUUAUUUUCGGAUAUUUAACAUAGAAUAAAUGUUUUGGAUUUGAUAAAUCAUUGACAGAUAUAAUUAUAUAAUGUGCUUAAAUUUUUCGGAAUUUUAUCAAUGGUAGAAAAUUUAUUUUUUAUUUAAUUGUAUGCACUAUUAUGAUUAACAAUGCGAUAGAUUCAGGAUACCUUCGGGACCCGUCUUGAAACACGGACCAAGGAGUCUAACAUAUGUGCAAGUCAUUGGGUAUUUUUAAUAAAACCCAAUGGCAUAAUUAACUUAACUGCUAAUAAUGGGAUUAGUUUAUGUUUUAUAAUGAAAUAUAAAUUCAAUCCCGGGGCGUUCUAUAUAGUUAUGUAUAAUAGUAUUUAUAUUAUUUAUGCCUCUAACUUGAGCGUACCUUGAGC